CGGUAUUUAUGUUUAUUUAUAUAGAUAUGCAAAUUCGGUUUGAAGCGAGGUGAGAGAGGGAGCAGGAGCGUGGUGCUUGAUGUGCAUGUGAUAAACCGGAGCACAAAAGCCGCUUAGGACCAGCCCGCGGAGAUUAGCUAACAAGAAGCGAGCCAUUCUUUUCAGGAGGCAUUAUUAGCAUAUUUUUCAUCAAUACUAUACUUAACAGCUACUACAUAGCAGGAAGUGGUAUUUAACCUCUUGUUCCAACGUAACGAGAUUACUUUGGGUGGUUAUGUUCCAUUCCAUUCAUAAAGAGCCUCCUGUGCCCAGUUAAUUAGAUUCACUGGUCCAGCAUGAACUGGGAGCCAAUGUGCCAAAAUGGAUUCGGAAUAUUGACAUUUUAAGCUGGGCUUGUCUUUAAGGCUGUGAUGGAAAACUCGCUGCUGACAGACAAGGGGGGUCAUUAGAAAAUUGUUCCAGCUCCUGAUGGACGUGGGUUAACUGAAAUAACCAUUGCUGAAAUGGCCAAAGUUUAAAGGAAAGCUCAUUCUGGAAGUUAAAGUUCUUUGAAACAGAUGAGCACCACCUGACUUUUGAGGCACAGCCAGGUGAAACCACCUUUGCCUUUAUUUGGAUGUGAAACACUGAGCCACAGGGGACUCUGCUGCCACAAAACUUCUGGUUUUCACUGAACUCUGAAUUGGAAAACGACAGAAGUCAAGUUUGGAAAAAAGUAUAAAGCAAGAGACAUCACAUACUGACUCAUGACUUAUAGUCAAACCCCAUGGAAUUAUUCCUGCAAAGCAGAACAUGGAGCACCUGGGCUGGAUUCUGUGUUCCCAACAGCUCCUGGUGGAUUUUCCUUGGCUCCAGCAGAUCCAUCACCCCUUUCUCCUGGAGUGUGCUCAGCGUUCAUCCAGCACUCCCUGUCUCAGCUGGGGGAUUGGGGACACCCCAGGAGCAGAUUUAUGGGGCUGCAGCCUCGCUGAGGGCACUGCAGGGACAGCCAGGCUGCCCCAUGGCAGGAGGUUUCAUCCCACUCCACCUUCCCAAAGGGAUCAAGCAGGCAAGUGGCUUCUCCCCUUUUUAAACUUUAUUACUCUACAAAAGUUGACUAAGAAGG
rnacentral:lncRNA from 1 species